rnacentral:rRNA from 1 species
CCACGCCGUAAACGAUGAGUGCUAAGUGUUAGGGGGUUUCCGCCCCUUAGUGCUGCAGCUAACGCAUUAAGCACUCCGCCUGGGGAGUACGGUCGCAAGACUGAAACUCAAAGGAAUUGACGGGGACCCGCACAAGCGGUGGAGCAUGUGGUUUAAUUCGACGCAACGCGAAGAACCUUACCAGGGCUUGACAUGACAGUGACGGGUUAAGAGAUUAACCGUUCCCUUCGGGGACACUGCCACAGGUGGUGCAUGGUUGU